AACGAACGCUGGCGGCAGGCUUAACACAUGCAAGUCGAGCGCCUCGCAAGAGGAGCGGCAGACGGGUGAGUAACGCGUGGGAACGUACCCUUAUCUUCGGAAUAGCUCUGGGAAACUGGGAGUAAUACCGAAUGUGCCCUUAGGGGGAAAGAUUUAUCGGAUAAGGAUCGGCCCGCGUUGGAUUAGCUAGUUGGUGGGGUAAAGGCCUACCAAGGCGACGAUCCAUAGCUGGUCUGAGAGGAUGAUCAGCCACAUUGGGACUGAGACACGGCCCAAACUCCUACGGGAGGCAGCAGUGGGGAAUAUUGGACAAUGGGCGCAAGCCUGAUCCAGCCAUGCCGCGUGAGUGAUGAAGGCCUUAGGGUUGUAAAGCUCUUUCACCGGAGAAGAUAAUGACGGUAUCCGGAGAAGAAGCCCCGGCUAACUUCGUG
rnacentral:rRNA from 1 species